UUGGAGUAUUGCCGUCUUUGUGUAAUCAAAACAGCUACGAAAUUUGGCCAAAAUUAAAGUUAAAUCUCCUUCUCAGUCCAUCCCUCACUCUUAUCUUUCUCUCUCCGUCAAAAGCUUCGAGAAAUCUCAAACCAUUACCAGCUCCUCCGCCAAAAUCAAGUCACUCUCUGUCUCCGAGAUCACACCCCCUCAGCUCUCCAACCUCUCAAUUGUCAAAUCCGCCUCCACCUUCUACUUCGCCUCCGCCUUCGCCAGUGAGCCAUCGGAGGCGGAGCUCCAUAAGUUCGGUGUCUCCGACGAUAUCAGAGCCUUUGUCAAGGGACUCACAUCCGAAUUUUUUGAUUCGGUUCUUCAAAUACGCACCGUUUCGAUCGAAUAGUCGACUCUCUAAUCCUUGAUGCUCUGCACUUCGCUCCUCGCAGCUCAUCGAUGGCGUAGGAUUUGAUUAAAUUUGCGAUCACCAAGGAUAUUAAAACAGUGAUCAAGAGUUUGUCUGUGAUGGCAAAGACGAUUCCAGUGGUGAGGAAAACACAGAGACCCAGCAAAGCUUCGUAGAGAGGAAGCAUCAGUUUCCUGGAAUAAUGGAGUUGAUCGUUCGAGAAUUUUCAUUUCAUCAGCUGAAUGCCAAUUUACUCUGGCCGGGGACAUUUGCAUUUGCAGAAUGGUUAAUUCAAAACAGGCCAUUGAUUGAGGGACGGCAUUGUAUUGAACUGGCCAGAUGGCCCCUGUGUUCGCAAAUUCAUUCAAGGUACAAGAGUACUUCAUUUAUGAGUUAACUGAUGGUCUUGUAUACAGUUCAGAUCUUAAUUAGAAGAUUAGAUGACUGCAAAAUUGGAGCUCCAUAAUCUUUUAAAGGAGAGCUCCAACUUCAAUGGGGAAACAAGAGGCAUCCGUAAGUGUUGAAUUUAUCAUGAAGAUCCAAGUAAAGCUGUUCUUUUAAGACACAAGAUGUAUUUGAAGUGGAAUGUGGCAAUGUGUAGUGAACGGUUGAGGCAAUCCACCCCAAUGGCUUUACACUACCACUUUAGGUUCAUUUUAUUUGUAUUGGUUUUGCUAUAAGCUUCAUUUGUUAUUGCUUCCACAACAUUUGUUUGUAUACUGCUCAAUUUUUUAUACAAGUGAAUGUUCUCUUAUGAAAUUGCAACAA